GAGGAGCUCUGGGUACCCACAUGGCGAAAGCAUAUCAACAUGUGUACGUGUACAUGCGCUAUAACAUUUAGCGCAAGCAUGCCUAUUGAUGUUUUCGAAAAGUGACUACUAUUCAAUGGUGGAGUUAAAAGGCGCAAGCGGCCAUUCUUAUUUAUUUGUGUAUAUACAAAGAUUUUACUCUUGAAAGAGAUAAUGCGAUCACGAGAGCAUCAUGUCUAUAGUCUACUGACCAGAUCUUAUUGUCUAGUUUGGAGUUUAAUAAAAGUUUUUUUCUACGACAUCAAAGAGGGUUGAUUGUAUUGCCGACGAGUUUGGUGCGAUGAUUAUAAUUCAUCUACAUUAAUUUUAAUAAGAGUUUUUAUGUUCGAUCCUGGAUAUAGGGGCUAUUUCGGUGAAAAGCACUUUACCUCUAUCUCACAUGAAUUCGGCGUUGAUCAGUAAGUUUCUGAUACUGAAUAGUAGUUAAUUAGAAAAGAAAGUUGAUUAUGUAAGAAAACUUUUUCUCCAGUAUCUUCGUGGAACUAUUACAAGG